rnacentral:rRNA from 1 species
CGGUUAUACUUUUAUAAUUUAAUAAUUAAAUUUAAAUAAAUUGAUAAUUAAAUUUUAUUAGUGAAAUAUUAAAUUUAAAUAAUUAAUUAAAAAUUUAAACUAGGAUUAGAUACCCUAUUAUUUUUUAAUUUAUUUUAAUGAUUAUUAUGAAUUAUUUAAAAAUUUAAAUAAUUUGGCAGUGUUGUUAAAAAUUAGAGGAUUUUGUUUAUUAAUUGAUGAUACACAAUAUAAUUUACUUAUUUUAAUUUAAUUGUAUAUUGUUGUUAAUUGAUUAUUUUAAUAAAAAAUAAUUUAAAUAUUUUUAUUAAUAAACUAUCAAAUCAUAAUUCAUUUUAUAAAUAAGAAUUUAAUGAAAUACAAUAAAUUUAUUUUUGAAUUUACUUUUUGUAAUAUAGUAAUGAAAUUGGAUUAAAAUUAAA